rnacentral:rRNA from 1 species
GAGUUUGAUCCUGGCUCAGGAUGAACGCUAGCGGGAGGCCUAACACAUGCAAGCCGAGCGGUAUUGUUUCUUCGGAAAUGAGAGAGCGGCGUACGGGUGCGGAACACGUGUGCAACCUGCCUUUAUCUGGGGGAUAGCCUUUCGAAAGGAAGAUUAAUACUCCAUAACAUAUUUAACGGCAUCGUUUGAUAUUGAAAGCUCCGGCGGAUAGAGAUGGGCACGCGCAAGAUUAGCUAGUUGGUGAGGUAACGGCUCACCAGGGCGAUGAUCUUUAGGGGGCCUGAGAGGGUGAUCCCCCACACUGGUACUGAGACACGGACCAGACUCCUACGGGAGGCAGCAGUGAGGAAUAUUGGUCAAUGGGUGCAAGCCUGAACCAGUCAUCCCGCGUGAAGGACGACUGCCCUAUGGGUUGUAAACUUCUUUGUAUAGGGAUAAACCUACCCUCGUGAGGGUAGCUGAAGGUACUAUACGAUAAGCACCGGCUAACUCCGUGCCAGCCGCCG